GACGAACGCUGGCGGCGUGCUUAACACAUGCAAGUCGAACGGAAAGGCCCUGCUUUUGUGGGGUGCUCGAGUGGCGAACGGGUGAGUAACACGUGAGUAACCUGCCCUUGACUGUGGGAUAACUUCAGGAAACUGGGGCUAAUACCGGAUAGGAGCUCCUGCUGCAUGGUGGGGGUUGGAAAGUUUCGGCGGUUGGGGAUGGACUCGCGGCUUAUCAGCUUGUUGGUGGGGUAGUGGCUUACCAAGGCUUUGACGGGUAGCCGGCCUGAGAGGGUGACCGGCCACACUGGGACUGAGCUACGGCCCAGACCCCUACGGGAGGCAGCAGUGGAGAAUAUUGCACAAUGGGCGGAAGCCUGAUGCAGCAACGCCGCGUGCGGGAUGACGGCCUUCGGGUUGUAAACCGCUUUCGCCUGUGACGAAGCGUGAGUGACGGUAAUGGGUAAAGAAGCACCGGCUAACUACGUG
rnacentral:rRNA from 1 species